rnacentral:lncRNA from 1 species
UUGCUCACUUUGGAUCUAUUUCAUUGUUAAUUUCUUUUGUAGAGCGGGCAUUUGCUUGGUUAUCUUGGACUCUCGAGUUCCCCUUACCUUAUACUAACUGAUUCUUUCCAUAAAUUUUACCUUGAUUGGAAAAAAAAAAACUCCAGUGAUUGUUGGAGUAGGUGCAAAGUCAUACUCAACGUACCCCAAUUUAUAAAACAGGUGAAAUCCAAAAUUCAAUUAAAAAUAUAUGGUCUAAAAACGUAAUGUCGCUAGCAUUUUUCUUAUUUAAAUAUUGUUUGGUCAAUUGUUGUUAAGCAUAAUUGGUUUAGUAAUUACUUGGUACCAAAUACGUUGAAUGUUUUGAGAAGCGAUUCCUACACAGUUUUUAUUCUUCUAUAUACUUAAUAAUUUUAACUUUCAAAUUAAUGAAACUGAAGGAAAUUCAAGACUAAAAAUAAACAGGAGUUCGUAGAAGAGGAAAAAUGUGUGCUGAAACCAUUUUUCAAUUUUGAUAUGAUUAAACGUAAACCAUAUACGUUGCAAAAUUGUCAAUAGCAACCACACAUGUAUAUUAUGGGGUGUAUCAAUGUGAGACGGUACAAUUUAGAAGAGGCAUGAUAAUGAUUUGCUUUCAAUUAUUUUGUGUGUGUCCAAAAUAUGGGAAAUUAUGUCGACAAAGGUACUACAAUCUCCCACGCAAAAGCAACUCUUGGACGUGACCGCUAUAUUUAUAAAAAAAAUGGAUUUGGAUCAUCUCCGAAGUAAUUGGUCGAGAUCCUCCUGAUCAGUGUCUGUAAGUUGUUGGAUAUUUAUCCAACGGCUACAAACAGGGAGGUCUUCUAAAAGUUAUAAUAAUUGUAGCCGUUGGAUAAAAAUCCAAAGGCCCACAGGCACCGGUCAGGAGGAUCCCGAUCAAUUGCCUCGGAGAGGAUCCAAAUCCAUAAAAAACAAGCUUCCAAAAUUCAAAUUUUCAUCACAACCUCCAACCAUGUGGAGCCAUCCUAUGAAACUUUUUGGUACGGAGCUUCAAGCACAUGAAUGUCCAAACGUCAACUCCAAACCACGUGUCGAUCAUUAAUAUGAAAAAAGGUCUAUGCAGGGGUAUAAGUACCGUUAGGUCUAGCCCUCGGGUUAAGUAUUUUUCAACCACAAUUUAAUGAGCGUAAGCGCUCAAGACACGUCGACCUGUGAAAUCAUGCAAUUAGCUCUAUGUAAAUGUUACUUCCUAUCCACGUGUGGGGUGAAUAAUGGAGAAAUAGCUUAUAGGUCGUAUCUACGUGUUUGUCCCGUUAAAUGAUAGGAUAGAGGGAAAUAGCUUAUGAGUCCUACUCAAUCUAUAUUCAUAUUAUUCCCAUGCAUUAUGCAUACGCUGUAUUACUAUACUAGCUACUUCAGAAUCUAUCUCACAUGUUUAAACUAAGGACCAUAAAACAUACAAUAAAAGGACCUACGGAUAUGUAUAUAUGUGUGUUUUUUUGGGUCAAACUUUUUAUGAAUGUUAGGUAUUUAGACUUAAAAAGUCUCCGGUCAGUAAGUAGAAAAACUAUGAAAGUUUUGAGAGAAGUACCAAUCUGCUUUCAUUUGAAAUUUUCUCUCUUUCACACAUGCACACAAUGCAAGCACAUCUAGGCCUAUCGAGAAACAUAUUAUCGUAAAUCAUAACAAGUGGUCCAGUGAUAAGGGUACAUAUUGCGGCUCUCCAAUAAACAAAAAAAUACGAGAGGUCUCGGGUUCGAUGCUCUGAGCUAGUGAGUUUGCUUGAUUCUGGUCAUGAGCAGGGUGAAAUUGUUGGAAAUGUGCCCUAAAGCCAAUCAUAUGAUGAUACUUUACGGACAUUUCACAUGUUAAACUAAUCUAGUUUAAUAUAAAGGGCAAAGAUUAUUGUUUGAGCCGUCUCAUAUAAAUGUUAUAUGCUUAAACGAUAAAGUCCAAGGAAUAUGUGAUUGGGAGAAUGUAAUCUAAUGAAGUUAGAUUCAUGAGACCAUUCUUUCGUAGACACAUCCUAAAUGUUCCUGAUCAUAGGAUUGUCAAUUGGGCAUUGACAGUCCAUCAAGAUCGGUACGUGCUAUGUCUUCUCUUAGGGAGAGUGACUAGUCUCGAGUCAUUGGUGUGUGUGACAUCAAGACAAGUACGUAGGUGCUCAAUAGAGAAUGAGUUCACUGAACGUGAUCGACGAAGAGUUCUCAUACUCAUGUCACAUGAGAACUCAUGGUUGGGAUAAUGCAAAGUAGUCAUUUGACCUGAGUCAUCACAGUUGUCUUGUGGUUAAGUCCUUGAUCUUUGAUUAUGUCAAACGUCAUUCCAUUGGAGUGUCCACGACAUCGUUGGGGUUAAGCCGCUUAGCCAUGGAGGCAAGUGAAUGCGCAACAAGGGAUCUCUAACCUUCAAACUGUUUGAGGGAGAAUACUCUAUGAUAUGAUUUAGAAUCUCUGGCCAGAGUAUGAAUGGGAUUUGGGAAUGCGUUCCGAAUCACAUUCAAGGAAAUCAUAUAAGCACACGAAUCAUAUUGGAUAGUAGACAUGAAUAAAUAAACUAUCAAACCAAACAAUGUGGUCAGGAGUAUUAGAUUAGAGAAAG